GACGAACGCUGGCGGCGUGCCUAAUACAUGCAAGUCGAACGCCGUGGGGACGGCUGAGUAACACGUGGGAAACCUCCCAUCAGAGGGGAUAACACUUGGAAACAGGUGCUAAACCGAUACUGAUGGAUGGACCAGCGGUGCAUUAGCUAGUUGGGGAGGUAACGGCUAACCAAGGCCACGACGCAUAGCCGACCUGAGAGGGGGAUCGGCCACACUGGGACUGAGACACGGCCCAGACUCCUACGGGAGGCAGCAGUAGGGAAUCUUCGGCAAUGGACGAAAGUCUGACCGAGCAACGCCGCGUGAGUGAAGAAGGUUUUCGGAUCGUAAAACUCUGUUGUUAGAGAAGCGGUAUCUAACCAGAAAGCCACGGCUAACUACGUGCCAGCAGCCGCGGUAAUUC
rnacentral:rRNA from 1 species